GCCUGGGUAGCUCAGUCGGUUGGGCAUCUGACUUCGGCUCAGGUCAUGAUCUCACAGUUCGUGGGUUCGAGCCCCGCGUUGGGCU
rnacentral:tRNA from 1 species